ensembl:lncRNA
GGUGACGCUCUCUCUCUGCGUGUUUCCUGGGUGAGAGAGCGCCUUUGUGUUGUUGUUGUUGUGCUAAGCUAAUAAGCAGACUGCUACAGGCAUAGCUCUAAAGAAUGUAGCAUCAUGGGCAGUGUAGUCCGUGCUGCAGGGAGAAUGGACUACCAUACCCGUUAUGUGUCUGUGAGCGAGGGAGGGAGAGAAAGGAAAAGUCCGAGCUGUCACGGAGCAAAAACGGGAGCUGGAAGCAUGUAAAUAUAAUAAUAACUACCGCAGCCAAGAAGAGUGCCUGACGAGCCCAUUUGUGGCUAUGGACCUGGACCAACCGCCCACCACAAGCACAGCGGCCAGAGCAAAAUUAUAGUAAUGGGAACCACACCCAGCAAGAAUCAGCAGCUGUGGAAGAGACAGCAGCGAGGAGAGAAGUAGAGGAGAAAUGAAAGUUUUAAUAGCACAUAAAAGAUUGAGAUUUGGGGCCAACGGAUUUGUGGAGGUUGGGAAGGCGUCCGGGGCAUCGCAACAAAAGGCUGCUUUGCCGGCCCUGGAAGCCGAGGCUGACCUGGACUCCUGCUCUUCCCUCUACCAUCUUGGACGUGACUCUGACCAAAUGCUGCAGCAGCUGGACCCACAACAACAACCUGAAAAUGUCAACAGUGCUGCAGGAAAAGGAUCUCAUGCAGCGGAGACGGAGAGCGCUACACCCAAGGCCUGUUUCACUACACGGGGGAAAUUCCCAGACAGCUUCAGCUGACAGAGCUGUGACGAGACGCCCAAUAAGCCCGGAUGAAAAGCUAGGUUUUUCUUUCCUUGUUCGUGUGGAAGGAACUAAGAUUCUGGAUUAUGAUGGAUUCUCUCCGGAUGGAGAUGGCGAGCCUGAGCCCGGACUGAACUUUGCAGAGGAACUCUUCUUCCUCGACGGAGACUUCGAAGUGGUAACACACAAACCACAAACGAAAGAGAAAAAGAACUAGACUAAGAAUUUCUGACUUGACCAAUGACCAAAGACAAAAAGACAAUUGAACAUUGAGCUCAAAGGGACUAUUUUUGGAGUUAUUUUUGUUUUGCCGGCUUAUUCUUAUUAUUGUUAUUGUUAUUAUUACCAUUACUACUGUCAAUGUGGAAUUUGUCUUGUUUAUUUCAUUUUUGUGCAAAAUAAUAACCGUUGCUGCUCAAAUUCCUGUCUCCAGCCAUUUCAUUCUGUAUUCGCCUCGCUUUCUAUUGUAGCCCUGCCGAACCUAGCAACUGGUCUGUAGUUUGGCUGUCCUAAACUAUUUAAAUGAGUCAGUGGUUACACCUGGCUUAUCUCAAAA